rnacentral:rRNA from 1 species
GACGAACGCUGGCGGCGUGCCUAAUACAUGCAAGUAGAACGCUGAAGGAGGAGCUUGCUCUUCUGGAUGAGUUGCGAACGGGUGAGUAACGCGUAGGUAACCUGCCUGGUAGCGGGGGAUAACUAUUGGAAACGAUAGCUAAUACCGCAUAACAGUAGAUGUUGCAUGACAUUUACUUAAAAGGUGCAAUUGCAUCACUACCAGAUGGACCUGCGUUGUAUUAGCUAGUUGGUGGGGUAACGGCUCACCAAGGCGACGAUACAUAGCCGACCUGAGAGGGUGAUAGGCCACACUGGGACUGAGACACGGCCCAGACUCCUACGGGAGGCAGCAGUAGGGAAUCUUCGGCAAUGGACGGAAGUCUGACCGAGCAACGCCGCGUGAGGGAAGAAGGUUGUCGGAUCGUAAAGCUCUGUUGUAAGAGAAGAACGAGUGUGAGAGUGGAAAGUUCACACUGUGACGGUAUCUGACCAGAAAGGGACGGCUAACUACGUG